UACGUAGGGUGCGAGCGUUGUCCGGAAUUAUUGGGCGUAAAGGGCUCGUAGGCGGUUUGUCGCGUCGGGAGUGAAAACCUCGGGCUUAACUCGGGGCUUGCUUUCGAUACGGGCAGACUGGAGGUAUGCAGGGGAGAACGGAAUUCCUGGUGUAGCGGUGAAAUGCGUAGAGAUCAUGAGGAAGACCAGUGGCAAAGGCGGGUCUCUGGACAGUUCCUGACACUGAGACACGAAGGCCAGGGGAGCAAACGGG
rnacentral:rRNA from 1 species